AGAAAUUUAGGUUUAACAGAAACCAAGAACCUUCAAAGUCCUAAACAGGAGUCACCACCCUCCUAAUUUCUG
rnacentral:tRNA from 1 species